UCCUGUCCCUGGGUGCGGUGGCCGCGGCUGAGCCAGCCGGGUACACGUGACUGAUGCCCCUGCUCCCGGGCCACAGGCCGGCGCUCGCGUCUCCGCGGGCCGAGCUUUAAACUGCGGCUCCUGAAACACCUCCCCGCCCACCUGUUUAGCGUUACGGGCCGGGAUGAGGCGUCAGUGCUGCGGUCAGACCCCGGGCUUCAAAGCCUUGACGUCAGGGUUCGAAGUUUGAACCAGCUGUGCCACAUCGGGCCAGUUCCCUAAAUAGAGUUUGUAUUCGCUCGGUAUCCAUCGGGGACCUGGUCUGUGUCGGUUCUUUGACAGGCAGUAAACAGGGGAGAUUACAGCCCAGGAGAGAUUACAGCCCCAAGGGGGAGGCAGACACCCAACCACGGUAACCGGUUUGCGACUGAAGAGGGUAGACUGGAGGCGUCGGAGCUCCCUUUGGGGGGUCCUGGAAGGCUGGAAGCGGCAUUGAAGCCGAGCUGAAGGAGUCCCAGUUCCAAGGGAGAGGGGUAGGAGCCAGCGCCCUGGGAUUUGGGAGUUCCUUCUGGAUGGUGAAGGGGAUGUCUGAGCUUCCUCAUGCCACGGGCUGCACUUUCUCCUUCGGCACGAAAACAGCCUCUUCCCAUUUCCUGAAGCUCAGGGAACAUGUUGGCAGGAACAAAGACAUCAGCAAUGUGGCUGCGCGGGGGUGGAAUCGUUGCCUGGGAGUACCGAAGUGCAGAGCACCUGGAGGAGUGUGUGUGGAAGCCGGGUCUCUGAGCAGGUGCAAUACCUUACUGUGGACAGCGGACCCCAGCACUGCAAGUGGCAGAUUCCCAGGAAGUCCCGGAAGCAUAGCAGCAGCCCGUGAGCCACAGCCACAUCUCUAGUGAGAUCCGGACUCCAGCCCUGCUGGGAGGGCCAGGAAGGGCGCUCGCCCUGAGGGUCCAUCUCAGCCCAGGCGGUGGUGGCUCCUCCUUACAGCUUCUGUCCUCUGCCCUUCUCUCCUCAGUAGCCACAUCCUUCAGGACUCCCAACCCUGUUAUGGACGCUUCUUCAGAUUGAACUUUCUGUGCUCAAAUUAUUGUGUGGUUUCUGCCUCCUGUUUUGACUCUGACGGAUGCAGUAGAGAGCGGUGAGUCUGGUAGGAUGUGACCAGCAGCGAAGAGGGGCAGGUGUUCGGCGCAGUGAUGACACUGAUGGCGCACCUGGAACACCCACCUCCCGUAUGACUGUGCCCUCCAGCGUGGGUGGGCCUUGUCUGAUCAGCUCGAGGCUGAGCUUCAGGUGAGCUGGCGGGCACUCCCGCUCUGCUGCCUUUAGCUGAGACAUGGGUUUCCUCCUGCUGCUGGGUCUCCAGCCCGCCAGCUUCAGACUGGAACCUCCACCCCCCACCCUGGUGGCUCUCCUGGGGCUCCCGUUCGCCCAUGGCAGGUCUGGGGACUUGACAGCCUCCAUAACUGCUUGAGCUACAUCCUUAUCAGAAAUCAGUCUAUCUGUCAUCUGUCUGUCCAUCCAUCUAUUCUCUCAGCUCUGUUUCUUUGGAGAACCCUGACCGCCCCUUUUCUCUUGUCCGUAGACCGGCUUCCUCCACUCACUGAGAAUUUCUAUCCCUGGAGCCAAUGUUGUAGUGCAAUGGCUUAAACCGCCUCCUAAAACACUAGCAACCCAUAUGGGCGCUGGUUGGAGUCCUGGCUGCUCCACUUCCUAUCCAGGCCCCUGCUAACAUGCCUGGGAAAGCAGCGGAAGAUGGUCCAAGUACUUGGGUCCUUGUCACCCACGUGGGAGACCUACAUGGAGUUCCAGGUUCCUGGCUUCAGCCUGGCCUAACCCUAGCUGUUGUGGCCAUUUAGGAAGUGAACCAGAGGAUGGAAGCACCCACAUGUUCUCUGUCUCGCUCUUUCUCUCUAGCUCUGCCUUUCAAAUAAAUAAAUAAAUCAUUAAAAAAUAACUUAUACCCCCCACAAAUUUGCUUUAUGUACUGGCUUUGGCUAUCCCAGCAUUAGUUCUAUUCAGGAUUGACUGUUCAGCUGGAUUCCAGAAGGAAUUUUUAAAAUCAUUUAAUUAUUUAUUUGUUUGUUUUUAACUUGAAAGGCAGACAGAGAGAAAUCUUCUAUUCACUAGUUCAUUCUCCAAAUGCCUGCAAAAGCCAUGGCUGGGCCAGGCUGAAGCCAAUAGCUAGGAACUCAUCUGUGUCUCCCACAUGUGUGCCUGCUGUCUCCCAGGGGGAGCAUUAGCAGGAAGCUGAAUCGGAAGUACAGCGAGGACUCAAACCUAGGUACCCCAAUAUGGGAUGCAGGCAUCCCUAGUGGAGUCGUAACUGCUGCACCAAAUGCUCACCCCAAGAAAUGGAAUCUGAUAGGCCCAGCUUUGGUCAGAAGUGGAGCAGCGGAUAGGGGCUGGCUGUAAACUAUGACUCAACUGUCUCGAACCACCAGGAGUUGGGGUGGGGAAGGCUCCCAUGGUGGGAGGCAGGCCUCCCGCGCAUUUCCACUCUAAUGAAGAUUCCUGUUGCUUCUCUAUUUUUUAAAAAAAUUAUUUAUUUGAAAGGUAGGAUGACAGAGGGAGACACACACACACACACACAUAUCUUCCAUAUGCUGGUUUCUCUCCCUAAAUGCUCCCAAGAGUUGAGCUGGGCCAGCCCAAAGCCAGGAGACUGACUCCAUCUGGGUCUCCCAAAUGAGUGGCAGGAACCCAAGUACGUGGGUCAUCAGCAGCUGCCUCCCCAGCUGCAUUAGCAGGAGCUAGAUCAGCAGUGGAGUGGCCAGCACCUGAACUGGCCCUCGGACAUGGCAUGCAGGCACCCCCAGAGGCAGCGUCACCUGGUGCACCAUGAUGCCUGCCCUUCCUGUUGCUUCUCUUGAUCCCUGAAUGCCAUGCUCUUGGCUACUUGGGUAAGGUCAAGGUGCUCUUGGGUCUUUGGUGACUUCUGUGACCUUUGACCUCUGUGGACCACGGACACAUGUCCCGCUCUGCCUGACCAGGUUGGGGACGGAGGUGCAGAUUUCCUGGCAACAGUUUGGGGAACUCUCCAUGAUUUGCCACAUCUCUAACAGACUCCAGUGGUGAUGGGCGUUUGGAGACUCAAGUGGUAGCAGAAGGGAGACCACAUGACUUCUGCACUGUGUCUUGAGUGAGCAAUGUCUGGAAAGGUGCAUCCUGGACCUGGAAUCGUUAAGCCACCUCUGAGCAGUCGGCGUGUAUCAGAACUUCCUCACUGGGCCGGCGGCAGAGGGGCAGAAGGAAGUACAACGCGAGGGGUGUCCUGUCUACAUGUUGAUGACAGCCAUCGGUGGACAUGCAUUUCUUCUUGGCUGUGCUGUGGGAGUACGUUCAGCAAGUGAAUGCAAACAUGCCUUCUUGCUGAUAUUUGGAUGAUACCAUUCUUAUUUAUUUAUUUAUUUAUUUUGACAGGCAGAGUGGACAGUGAGAGAGAGAGAGAGAGAGACAGAGAGAAAGGUCUUCCUUUUGCCAUUGGUUUACCCUCCAAUGGCCGCCACAGCCGGCGCACCACACUGAUCCAAUGGCAGGAGCCAGGUACUUCUCCUGGUCUCCCAUGGGGUGCAGGGCCCAAGCACUUGGGCCAUCCUCCACUGCACUCCCUGGCCACAGCAGAGAGCUGGCCUGGAAGAGGGGCAACCGGGACAGAAUCCAGUGCCUCGACCGGGACUAGAACCCGGUGUGCCGGCGCCGCAAGGUGGAGGAUUAGCCUAGUGAGCCGCGGCGCCGGCGAUGAUACCAUUCUGAUCAUGAAUUCUCCUAGAACACUCAGUAUGCACCGUUGCUGUGUGUGUCACUGUAAGGGAAUGCAGCGUCUUAAUUGUAAUUCAGCCAAAACUUGUAUUUAGAGGCCUGCUGCUAUUUUUGUCUUUUACAAAAUUUUUGUUCCCAAGAAAAUCAAUUACAUUUUUUCCUAACAGACUGAGUUGAUGUAGUAUAUUUUUGGUUAACAAAAUACUCAUACAGCUUUGGGAUUUGGAAUCGGUAAAUAUUCAUGAAGUGUGAAGAAACAUGAUCCAUACAUCCCAUAGCUCAGUCACAUAAAAGCGGAUGUUGUGUGUGCGUGCACGGGACCCAGAAGAACAUGUUGAACUCAACUGCUUGUGAUUGCGGAUGACUUUGUACUGUGUUCCUUGUGUUUUUCAGUUUCCUGUAAUGCACUUAUUAGCUUUGAGAAAAUGAAGGUAAUUUUUAACCCCUCCCCCCUCAAAAAAAAAAAAAAAAAAAAGUCCAGGCACCUUCUGGUAUCCAGCUGCUUUCUUGCCAUGCACUUUUUCUCUGCUGUUAGCAGGUGUGUCUCAAGUGGCAGCCCAGCGCCGGCUGAAGGCCUGGUGCAUCAGAGGUGUUAAACAAAUGUACACAGACUCUGUAUAUUCAGAACUUGCACAGUGGCCCAGGGACUGAAGCUAGAACAGGAUCUGACUCUGGUCAGUGCUGAUCCUGGGAUCUGAGGUCAGGCCACACGAACCCUCUUCCAAGCUUCCCUUCUGGCAACACUGAAAGUCGUGGCACCAGGGCUUACCGCACGGUUACCCGUCCCCUGGGCAGCCUAGGCCCUGCUCUUCCUUUUGCCUACCUUACAAGCUGAUGAGCGGACCUAGUAUGGUUUCCCAGAGGCUGGGAGAAGACACUUUCUGGAGUCAGAGCGGCACGAGCCUCGGAGUUGUGCGCUCCCCCUGUCCCCAGCUCUCACGGGGGCCCAGGUGCACAUUUCACCAGCUGGGGGCACUGAACCUGGAGUCCCACCCCCGUUCCCACUGCUACUGUUUUUUAUCAUAAGCAAGUUUGCUCUUUGGAAGAUGUUUCUCAUCUCUCAAGGCUGCAAACCCAGCCCUGAGAAACAGUUGGGUUAAGAGUGGCCAUGGGGGCCGGGGCUGUAGCACAGUGGGUUAAAGUCCCUGGCUGCUCCACUUCUGGUCCAGCUCUCUGCUGUGGCCUGGGAAAGCAGUGGAAGACGGCCCAACUGUUUGGACCUCUGCACCCAUGUGGGAGACCCAGAAGAAGCUCCUGGCUCCUGGCUUUGGAUCAGCUCAGCUCUGGCCAUCGCAGUCAUUUGGGGAGUGAACCAGCAGAUGGAGGACCUCUCUCUGGCUCUACUUCUCUCUAACUCUUUCAAAUAAAUAAAAUAAAUCUUUAAA